rnacentral:lncRNA from 1 species
AGAUGUUUAUAUAGUUUGGCUGUGUCCCCAACCAAAUCUCAUCUUGAAUUGUAGUUCCCAUAAUCUCCACAUGUUGUGAGAGGGACCUGGUGGGAGGUAAUUAAAGCACGGGGGCGGUUACCUCCAUGCUGUUCUUGUGAUAGUGAGUGAGUUCUCAUGAGAUCUGAUGGUUCUGUGGGGGGCUUUUUCCCCUCUUUGCUCUACACUUCUUCUUGCUGCCACCAUGUGAUGAAGGACAUGUUUGCUUCCCCUUCCACCAUGAUUGUAAGUUUCCUGAGGCCUCCCCAGCCAUGCUGAACUGUGAGUUAAUUAAACCUCUUUCCUUUAUAAAUUACUCACUCUUGGGUAUGUCUUUAUUAGCAGCCUGAGAACAGAAUAAUGCACAUAUGCAUGUAUUAUAUAGGUCAAAAACAUAUGCAUAUAUAUAUAUAAUAUAUGCUUCUAUGUUAUAUAAUUAUAUCACUGCAUAUCAUUUUACAUUGUUGGAGAAUAGUUUUAUAUACUAGAAAAUAUCUUACAUAAUUGGUAUCUUUUUAAUGCUUAUACAAUUUAUGAAAUGUGUUUAUUAUGAUUUUCACUUUAACAAUGAGGAAAAUAAAAUUAAGAGAUGUUAAGCAACUUCUAGAUUACACAGUGCAUGUUAGAACAAGGUCUCAGUGAGUCAUAAACGUCAUGUUGUUUGUAUUAUAAUAUAUUGCCUCCCUAUAUAUAUGAAUGGAAAUGAGGGUAUAAUUUGCAUGGAUUAAAUGUCUGUGUAUUUCAAAAUGUAGCCUGAAAUUAUACUUCAAAACACACUGUAAAAGACUGGUUUAUUUGGGCUAAAAUUUGUGAAUCUAGGAUUCCACAGUUAAAAUGCAAAUAUUGUUAAAAUGCUAACAUGGUUAUCUUUGACUAUCAAAUCUUCCAGCUCACAGUAAUUUACCAGAUCAAUAUCUAACAGUGGCAAUAAAGAGGGAGGAAGUUAAAUGGAAAACUCCGGAGUACUGACCCUACCUGGAAUAGGAAGCUCAGAAAGGACUGUCUGCAGGCAGGGCUGUGAUGGAAGGCCAUUAAUGGAUUUUUAUUUUCAAAAGAGGUAUCUUUGCAAAUCAAAGAGAGUCAGAGAAUGCAAAUGAAAAUUGCAGUAACUGAUUAUCCAGCAGAAUGCUUGCCUUAAAGGUGAGAGGCGGUUUUGGAAAUCAAUUACAUCAAAUUUCACCAUUCUUUACCUGGGCAAUAUUUUCAAAUGCAUUAAUUUCCAAUUUAGGUUAUUAAGUGUAUGACAAAUCUGAAUAUACAUUGCAUGUUUCCUCUCAUAUUUUAAAUUUUGUAUCCAAUUACACAAAGAGGCAGAUGCAGAAUACUUUUAUUUUAGGAUCAAUUAUACCAUAUUGAUAAAUGAAAAUGACAUUGCACCUUAU